rnacentral:rRNA from 1 species
UAGAGUUUGAUCAUGGCUCAGAUUGAACGCUGGCGGCAGGCCUAACACAUGCAAGUCGAGCGGUAACAUUUCUAGCUUGCUAGAAGAUGACGAGCGGCGGACGGGUGAGUAAUGCUUGGGAACAUGCCUUGAGGUGGGGGACAACCGUUGGAAACGACGGCUAAUACCGCAUAAUGUCUACGGACCAAAGGGGGCUUCGGCUCUCGCCUUUAGAUUGGCCCAAGUGGGAUUAGCUAGUUGGUGAGGUAAUGGCUCACCAAGGCGACGAUCCCUAGCUGGUUUGAGAGGAUGAUCAGCCACACUGGGACUGAGACACGGCCCAGACUCCUACGGGAGGCAGCAGUGGGGAAUAUUGCACAAUGGGCGCAAGCCUGAUGCAGCCAUGCCGCGUGUGUGAAGAAGGCCUUCGGGUUGUAAAGCACUUUCAGUAAGGAGGAAAGGUUAGUAGUUAAUACCUGCUAGCUGUGACGUUACUUACAGAAGAAGCACCGGCUAACUCCGUGCCAGCAGCCGCGGUAAUACGGAGGGUGCGAGCGUUAAUCGGAAUUACUGGGCGUAAAGCGUACGCAGGCGGUUUGUUAAGCGAGAUGUGAAAGCCCCGGGCUUAACCUGGGAACUGCAUUUCGAACUGGCAAACUAGAGUGUGAUAGAGGGUGGUAGAAUUUCAGGUGUAGCGGUGAAAUGCGUAGAGAUCUGAAGGAAUACCGAUGGCGAAGGCAGCCACCUGGGUCAACACUGACGCUCAUGUACGAAAGC